rnacentral:tmRNA from 1 species
GGGGUCGACAGGUAUUGACAGCAAGACUAAUGUUUUUAUUUGCAAGUCGAGCAAUGAAAAUAAACUCGUAAAUCUAUUUUUUAACCUUUAAAUGGCGAAAAUAACUACGCUUUAGCUGCAUAAUUGACUGAAUUACAGUAAGUCAUUGCGAAUCUCAACUAGGUUGAGAAGCUAGAUGUCUCUUAGAAACUUUGAUUGACAGUUUUUAAUUUAGAGAUACCAUAAAGUUAAUCUAGAGUUUUAUAAGCACUGGAUAAAACUUAAAACUUAAGUGAUAAGGAAAAUAUUUUGGUUGUUAUCGACCAAGUAUUUUUUCGAAAAUUUAAUGAUAACUAAACUUGUAGAAGGUAAUUUUAUUACUUGUAUGGACGAGGGUUCGAAUCCCUCCGACUCCACCA